UACGUAGGGUGCAAGCGUUGUCCGGAAUUAUUGGGCGUAAAGAGCUCGUAGGCGGUUUGUCGCGUCGGCUGUGAAAACUCGGGGCUCAACCCCGAGCCUGCAGUCGAUACGGGCAGACUAGAGUGCGGUAGGGGAGAUCGGAAUUCCUGGUGUAGCGGUGAAAUGCGCAGAUAUCAGGAGGAACACCGGUGGCGAAGGCGGAUCUCUGGGCCGAUACUGACGCUGAGGAGCGAAAGCUAGGGGAGCAAACAGG
rnacentral:rRNA from 1 species